AACGAACGCUGGCGGCACGCCUAACACAUGCAAGUCGAACGAGACCUUCGGGUCUAGUGGCGCACGGGUGCGUAACGCGUGGGAACCUGCCCUUAGGUUCGGAAUAACUCCCCGAAAGGGGUGCUAAUACCGGAUAAUGUCUUCGGACCAAAGAUUUAUCGCCUUUGGAUGGGCCCGCGUUGGAUUAGCUAGUUGGUAGGGUAAAAGCCUACCAAGGCGACGAUCCAUAGCUGGUCUGAGAGGAUGAUCAGCCACACUGGGACUGAGACACGGCCCAGACUCCUACGGGAGGCAGCAGUGGGGAAUAUUGGACAAUGGGCGAGAGCCUGAUCCAGCAAUGCCGCGUGAGUGAUGAAGGCCUUAGGGUUGUAAAGCUCUUUUACCCGGGAUGAUAAUGACAGUACCGGGAGAAUAAGCUCCGGCUAACUCCGUG
rnacentral:rRNA from 1 species